UUAAGUUAGAAAGGGCGCACGGUGGAUGCCUUGACACUAGGAGUCGAUGAAGGACGGGACUAACGCCGAUAUGCUUCGGGGAGCUGUAAGUAAGCUUUGAUCCGAAGAUUUCCGAAUGGGGAAACCCACCAUACGUAAUGGUAUGGUAUCCUUAUCUGAAUACAUAGGGUAAGGAAGACAGACCCAGGGAACUGAAACAUCUAAGUACCUGGAGGAAGAGAAAGCAAAUGCGAUUUCCUGAGUAGCGGCGAGCGAAACGGAACAUAGCCCAAACCAAGAGGCUUGCCUCUUGGGGUUGUAGGACAUUCUAUACGGAGUUACAAAGGAACGAGGUAGACGAAGCGACCUGGAAAGGUCCGUCGUAGAGGGUAACAACCCCGUAGUCGAAACUUCGUUCUCUCUUGAAUGUAUCCUGAGUACGGCGGAACACGUGAAAUUCCGUCGGAAUCUGGGAGGACCAUCUCCCAAGGCUAAAUACUCCCUAGUGAUCGAUAGUGAACCAGUACCGUGAGGGAAAGGUGAAAAGCACCCCGGAAGGGGAGUGAAAGAGAUCCUGAAACCGUGUGCCUACAAAUAGUCAGAGCCCGUUAACGGGUGAUGGCGUGCCUUUUGUAGAAUGAACCGGCGAGUUACGAUCCCGUGCGAGGUUAAGCUGAAGAGGCGGAGCCGCAGCGAAAGCGAGUCUGAAUAGGGCGUUUAGUACGUGGUCGUAGACCCGAAACCAGGUGAUCUACCCAUGUCCAGGGUGAAGUUCAGGUAACACUGAAUGGAGGCCCGAACCCACGCACGUUGAAAAGUGCGGGGAUGAGGUGUGGGUAGCGGAGAAAUUCCAAUCGAACCUGGAGAUAGCUGGUUCUCCCCGAAAUAGCUUUAGGGCUAGCCUUAAGUGUAAGAGUCUUGGAGGUAGAGCACUGAUUGGACUAGGGGUCCUCAUCGGAUUACCGAAUUCAGUCAAACUCCGAAUGCCAAUGACUUAUCCUUAGGAGUCAGACUGCGAGUGAUAAGAUCCGUAGUCAAAAGGGAAACAGCCCAGACCGCCAGCUAAGGUCCCAAAGUGUGUAUUAAGUGGAAAAGGAUGUGGAGUUGCUUAGACAACUAGGAUGUUGGCUUAGAAGCAGCCACCAUUUAAAGAGUGCGUAAUAGCUCACUAGUCGAGUGACUCUGCGCCGAAAAUGUACCGGGGCUAAAUACACCACCGAAGCUGCGGAUUGAUACCAAUGGUAUCAGUGGUAGGGGAGCGUUCUAAGGACAGUGAAGUCAGACCGGAAGGACUGGUGGAGUGCUUAGAAGUGAGAAUGCCGGUAUGAGUAGCGAAAGACGGGUGAGAAUCCCGUCCACCGAAUGCCUAAGGUUUCCUGAGGAAGGCUCGUCCGCUCAGGGUUAGUCAGGACCUAAGCCGAGGCCGACAGGCGUAGGCGAUGGACAACAGGUUGAUAUUCCUGUACCACCUCUUUAUCGUUUGAGCAAUGGAGGGACGCAGAAGGAUAGAAGAAGCGUGCGAUUGGUUGUGCACGUCCAAGCAGUUAGGCUGAUAAGUAGGCAAAUCCGCUUAUCGUAAAGGCUGAGCUGUGAUGGGGAAGCUCCUUAUGGAGCGAAGUCUUUGAUUCCCCGCUGCCAAGAAAAGCUUCUAGCGAGAUAAAAGGUGCCUGUACCGCAAACCGACACAGGUAGGCGAGGAGAGAAUCCUAAGGUGUGCGAGAGAACUCUGGUUAAGGAACUCGGCAAAAUGACCCCGUAACUUCGGGAGAAGGGGUGCUUUCUUAACGGAAAGCCGCAGUGAAUAGGCCCAAGCGACUGUUUAGCAAAAACACAGCUCUCUGCGAAGCCGUAAGGCGAAGUAUAGGGGGUGACACCUGCCCGGUGCUGGAAGGUUAAGGAGAGGGGUUAGCGUAAGCGAAGCUCUGAACUGAAGCCCCAGUAAACGGCGGCCGUAACUAUAACGGUCCUAAGGUAGCGAAAUUCCUUGUCGGGUAAGUUCCGACCCGCACGAAAGGUGUAACGAUUUGGGCACUGUCUCAACCAGAGACUCGGUGAAAUUAUAGUACCUGUGAAGAUGCAGGUUACCCGCGACAGGACGGAAAGACCCCGUGGAGCUUUACUGUAGCCUGAUAUUGAAUUUUGGUACAGUUUGUACAGGAUAGGCGGGAGCCAUUGAAACCGGAGCGCUAGCUUCGGUGGAGGCGCUGGUGGGAUACCGCCCUGACUGUAUUGAAAUUCUAACCUACGGGUCUUAUCGACCCGGGAGACAGUGUCAGGUGGGCAGUUUGACUGGGGCGGUCGCCUCCUAAAGUGUAACGGAGGCGCCCAAAGGUUCCCUCAGAAUGGUUGGAAAUCAUUCGUAGAGUGCAAAGGCAUAAGGGAGCUUGACUGCGAGACCUACAAGUCGAGCAGGGACGAAAGUCGGGCUUAGUGAUCCGGUGGUUCCGCAUGGAAGGGCCAUCGCUCAACGGAUAAAAGCUACCCCGGGGAUAACAGGCUUAUCUCCCCCAAGAGUCCACAUCGACGGGGAGGUUUGGCACCUCGAUGUCGGCUCAUCGCAUCCUGGGGCUGUAGUCGGUCCCAAGGGUUGGGCUGUUCGCCCAUUAAAGCGGUACGCGAGCUGGGUUCAGAACGUCGUGAGACAGUUCGGUCCCUAUCCGUCGUGGGCGUAGGAAAUUUGAGAGGAGCUGUCCUUAGUACGAGAGGACCGGGAUGGACGCACCGCUGGUGUACCAGUUGUUCUGCCAAGGGCAUAGCUGGGUAGCUAUGUGCGGAAGGGAUAAGUGCUGAAAGCAUCUAAGCAUGAAGCCCCCCUCAAGAUGAGAUUUCCCAUAGCGUAAGCUAGUAAGAUCCCUGAAAGAUGAUCAGGUUGAUAGGUUCGAGGUGGAAGCAUGGUGACAUGUGGAGCUGACGAAUACUAAUAGAUCGAGGACUUAACCA
rnacentral:rRNA from 1 species